CCUACGGGGCGCAGCAGUGGGGGAUAUUGCACAAUGGGGGAAACCCUGAUGCAGCGACGCCGCGUGCGUGAAGAAGUAUUUCGGUAUGUAAAGCCCUAUCAGCAGGGAAGAAAGAAGCCGGUACCGGACUAAGAAGCCCCUGCUAACUACGUGCCAGCAGCCGAGGUAAUACGGAGGGGGCGAGCGUUAUCCGGAUUCACUGGGUGUAAAGGGAGCGUAGACGGCCGUGCAAGCCAGGAGUGAAAGCCCGGGGCCCAACCCCGGGACUGCUCUUGGAACUGUGCGGCUAGAGUGCGGUAGGGGCAGGCGGAAUUCGUGGUGUAGCGGUGAAAUGCGUAGAUAUCAGGAGGAACCCCGGCGGCGAAGGCGGCCUGCUGGAGCGCGACUGACGUUGAGGCUCGAAGGUGUGGGGAGCGAACAGGAUUAGAUACCCGUGUAGUC
rnacentral:rRNA from 1 species